UGCAGUCGAGCGGAACUUUGGGAGCUUGCUCCCUUAGUUUAGCGGCGGACGGGUGAGUAACACGUGGGCAACCUGCCCUGCAGAUCGGGAUAACUCCGGGAAACCGGUGCUAAUACCGAAUAGUUUUUUGCCCCUCCUGGGGCGAAACGGAAAGACGGUUUCGGCUGUCACUGCAGGAUGGGCCCGCGGCGCAUUAGCUAGUUGGUGAGGUAAUGGCUCACCAAGGCGACGAUGCGUAGCCGACCUGAGAGGGUGAUCGGCCACACUGGGACUGAGACACGGCCCAGACUCCUACGGGAGGCAGCAGUAGGGAAUCUUCCGCAAUGGACGAAAGUCUGACGGAGCAACGCCGCGUGAGUGACGAAGGUUUUCGGAUCGUAAAACUCUGUUGUAAGGGAAGAACACAUGCCAUUUAACUGAUGGCAUCUUGACGGUACCUUACCAGAAAGCCACGGCUAACUACGUGCCAGCAGCCGCGGUAAUACGUAGGUGGCAAGCGUUGUCCGGAAUUAUUGGGCGUAAAGCGCGCGCAGGCGGUCCUUUAAGUCUGAUGUGAAAGCCCACGGCUCAACCGUGGAGGGUCAUUGGAAACUGGAGGACUUGAGUGCAGAAGAGGAAAGUGGAAUUCCACGUGUAGCGGUGAAAUGCGUAGAGAUGUGGAGGAACACCAGUGGCGAAGGCGACUUUCUGGUCUGUAACUGACGCUGAGGCGCGAAAGCGU
rnacentral:rRNA from 1 species